AAGUCGUAACAAGGUUUCCGUAGGUGAACCUGCGGAAGGAUCAUUAACACGUAUCCAAACGUUAAAACCCCCCCCGUGAACCUUCAUCCUGCUCUUGUAACCCGCGUAGUUCGCAAUCUCUGAUAAAUCAUAGCCCGGAAAGUUGUAGUGAUUCAGAGACCUCUGGCUACGUGCGAACAUUGGAACAGUUACAAUCGAGCGGUAGUUCUAUAGGCAAUGUUUCCCCAAGCAGUCAGUGUCGGAAAGUGUCAUUGAUUGUGCAAGGAUAGCUUUGCCAAAGGGUCCCCAUGCCCCCUAAUAACCCCACAGUUGUAAUACAUUGGUAAAAAAACCGAACAACUGUUAACAAUGGAUAUCUUGGAUCUC
rnacentral:misc_RNA from 1 species